rnacentral:rRNA from 1 species
GUAGUCCACGCCCUAAACGAUGUUUACUUGCUGUUGGGGGUAACCUUAGUAGCGAAGCUAACGCGAGAAGUAAACCGCCUGGGGAGUACGGUCGCAAGAUUAAAACUCAAAGGAAUUGACGGGGACCCGCACAAGCGGUGGAUGAUGUGGAUUAAUUCGAUGCAACGCGAAGAACCUUACCUGCUCUUGACAUGUCAGGAAGGCCUAAGAGAUUAGGCUGUGCCUUCGGGAACCUGAACACAGGUGCUGCAUGGCUGUCGUCAGCUCGUGUCGUGAGAUGUUGUCUUAAGUGACGCAACGAGCGCAACCCUUGCUACUAGUUGCCCUUAUUAAGUUAGGCACUCUAGUGGGACUGCCGGUGCUAAGCCGGA